UCACAAUCAGAAAGUCGAUAGUCCUGGUAUCUACCGAGAGAAAUGGUCGUAGCGAUCGACUUUUGGUUGCCACAACCGACCAUUUUUUUCCGUGUGUCUGUGUGUCUGUGUGUCUGUCUGUCUGUCUGUUCCACUAGAAGGAGAUGUGUUAGAGACUUCAAAUUUUCAGGGUAUCUUAAGCUUCACUCCUAGAAAACGAAACGCCUACGGCAACCAACCCUAAGGGGCCAAAAGGGGGUAUCAAAGAAAAGGGGGUAGGUCAAAAAAGUCAGAAAAAAAUAUUUUUUUUAUGAGCUCCUAAGGGGUAACUCGUCAAAGUAGAGCCCUGUGGGCGAAAAUUUCGUCCGUUUUGCUCUAUCUCUCAGCGUCUCAGCGUCUCAGCCCACUUGAAGGCCGUCAAGACCGUGGAGUCCUUGCAACAGACAUUUUCUUUAACAAUUUUCUAGCAUCUUCAAAAAAUUUUAUCAGGCUCAAAAAUACAAACCUAGAGGUGGCGUCCUUGCUAAAACUGAAGCAUAUUCAGGAUGGGGUGAGAUUUGAGGAAGAAGAAGAUUUCUGCUAGCCCUCAGACCUUUCGUGAGGCGGACAGCAUGUUCCGUGAACCGGACUACUCCUAUCUCGGACGAACCAUCGACGGGGAGGAGAUGCUCUACCAAGUCAUGGUUGGGGAAGAUAGGGAGGAAUCCCUCAUUUCCUGUACAAAAAGGCAGCUGCAAAUGGUCCAUCAAACGGAUGUGAUAGCCUCUGACCCUACAUUUCGGGUCACCCGACGUUUGGUCGGGGCGCUAUAUCUGAUGAUUAUCGCAAUAUUGGCAUAUGACGCUGGACUGCUAUAAUGAGGGCAAAAAGUACAGAGGUGUACGAGGCUGUCUUCCGAAAGUUCAGGGGAAUGGGACUAGAUGCAAGAAAUGUGAUAACUGACUGGGAGCAGGCCGAGAGGAAUGGAUGGCGGAAUGCAUUUCCAAGAUGCAAGAUUCAUGGGUGUGUCCGGCACUUUGUAAAAGUAAACCAAAAGACAUGGAAGCAGAGGAAGAAUGCAAAGUCGAGUCUCAAGAAAAGGGCAAAGGAGUUGGAACGACAGGCAGCAGAGAGAACCUCUUUAAUAAAGCAAUAAACUUACAAAGAAAGGUAGUCGUGUUGUUUCUAACCCUCCAUCGCACUGACACAUUAAAAAGGAUUUCAAUUGUCUUGGAAACCCCGCACAAGAAAUGUCAUUCUGCAAUCACAUUAAAGGUGUUUCAAGUAUUAGGAAUGUGAAAAUAUUAUGACAUGAGAAUAUGAC